rnacentral:rRNA from 1 species
GAGUUUGAUCCUGGCUCAGGAUGAACGCUGGCGGUAUGCCUAACACAUGCAAUCGAACGAAAUCUUCGGAUUUAGUGGCGGACGGGUGAGUAACGCGUGAGAAUCUGCCUUAGGACGGGGACAACAGUUGGAAACGACUGCUAAGACCCGAUGUGCCGAGAGGUGAAAUAUUAUAGCCUGAAGAGGAGCUCGCGUCUGAUUAGCUAGUUGGUAGUGUAAGGGACUACCAGGCAACGAUCAGUAGCUGGUCUGAGAGGAUGAGCAGCCACACUGGGACUGAGACACGGCCAGACUCCUACGGGAGGCAGCAGUGGGGAAUUUUCCGCAAUGGGCGAAAGCCUGACGGACAAUACCGCGUGAGGGAGGAAGGAUUUUGGUUCGUAAACCUCUUUUAUUAGGGAAGAAAAAAUGACGGUACCUAAUGAAUAAGCACCGGCUAACUCCGUGCCAGCAGCCGCGGUAAU